rnacentral:rRNA from 1 species
AGCGAACGCUGGCGGCAGGCCUAACACAUGCAAGUCGAACGGAUCCUUCGGGAUUAGUGGCGGACGGGUGAGUAACACGUGGGAACGUGCCCUUUGGUUCGGAACAACUCAGGGAAACUUGAGCUAAUACCGGAUGUGCCCUUCGGGGGAAAGAUUUAUCGCCAUUGGAGCGGCCCGCGUCUGAUUAGCUAGUUGGUGAGGUAACGGCCCACCAAGGCGACGAUCAGUAGCUGGUCUGAGAGGAUGAUCAGCCACACUGGGACUGAGACACGGCCCAGACUCCUACGGGAGGCAGCAGUGGGGAAUCUUGCGCAAUGGGCGAAAGCCUGACGCAGCCAUACCGCGUGAAUGAUGAAGGUCUUAGGAUUGUAAAAUUCUUUCAGCGGGGACGAUAAUGACGGUACCCGCAGAAGAAGCUCCGGCUAACUUCGUG